GGCUCAGGAUGAACGCUGGCGGCGUGCCUAACACAUGCAAGUCGAACGAACCUUGGGGAACAGAUUACUUCGGUUUGAAGUUCCCCGCUGGUUAGUGGCGGACGGGUGAGUAACGCGUGGAUAACCUGCCAUACACUGGGGGAUAACAGCUGGAAACAGCUGCUAAUACCGCAUAAAACUGUAGAGUCGCAUGACUUUAUAGCCAAAGCUCCGGCGGUGUAUGAUGGAUCCGCGUCUGAUUAGGCAGUUGGCGGGUAACGGCCCACCAAACCGACGAUCAGUAGCCGACCUGAGAGGGUGACCGGCCACAUUGGGACUGAGACACGGCCCAGACUCCUACGGGAGGCAGCAGUGGGGAAUAUUGCACAAUGGAGGAAACUCUGAUGCAGCGACGCCGCGUGAGCGAUGAAGUAUUUCGGUAUGUAAAGCUCUAUCAGCAGGGAAGAUAAUGACGGUACCUGACUAAGAAGCUCCGGCUAAAUACGUG
rnacentral:rRNA from 1 species